rnacentral:tRNA from 2 species
GGGCCCGUAGCUUAGUCCGGUUAGAGCGCCCGGCUCAUAACCGGGCGGCCACCGGUUCAAAUCCGGUCGGGCCCA